GAUGAACGCUGGCGGCGUGCCUAAUACAUGCAAGUCGAGCGAACAGACGAGGAGCUUGCUCCUCUGACGUUAGCGGCGGACGGGUGAGUAACACGUGGAUAACCUACCUAUAAGACUGGGAUAACUUCGGGAAACCGGAGCUAAUACCGGAUAAUAUAUUGAACCGCAUGGUUCAAUAGUGAAAGACGGUUUUGCUGUCACUUAUAGAUGGAUCCGCGCCGCAUUAGCUAGUUGGUAAGGUAACGGCUUACCAAGGCAACGAUGCGUAGCCGACCUAGAGGGUGAUCGGCCACACUGGAACUGAGACACGGUCCAGACUCCUACGGGAGGCAGCAGUAGGGAAUCUUCCGCAAUGGGCGAAAGCCUGACGGAGCAACGCCGCGUGAGUGAUGAAGGUCUUCGGAUCGUAAAACUCUGUUAUUAGGGAAGAACAAAUGUGUAAGUAACUAUGCACGUCUUGACGGUACCUAAUCAGAAAGCCACGGCUAACUACGUG
rnacentral:rRNA from 1 species